rnacentral:rRNA from 1 species
UACGAGUGCCCCGAGCGUUAUCCGGAAUUAUUGGGCGUAAAGGGUGUGUAGGCGGUUGUGUUAGUCUUCUGUGAAAUUCUUCGGCUUAACCGGGGUCCCGCAGAGGAAACGGCACAACUAGAGGAUGCGAGAGGUGAAUGGAACUCAUGGAGUAGGGGUGAAAUCCGUUGAUAUCAUGGGGAACACCAAAUGCGAAGGCAAUUCACUGGCGCACUCCUGACGCUGAGACACGAAAGCGUAGGUAGCGAAUGGG